rnacentral:rRNA from 1 species
AGUGAACGCUGGCGGUAGGCCUAACACAUGCAAGUCGAACGGCAGCACAGUAAGAGCUUGCUCUUACGGGUGGCGAGUGGCGGACGGGUGAGGAAUACAUCGGAAUCUACUUUUUCGUGGGGGAUAACGUAGGGAAACUUACGCUAAUACCGCAUACGACCUACGGGUGAAAGCAGGGGAUCUUCGGACCUUGCGCGAUUGAAUGAGCCGAUGUCGGAUUAGCUAGUUGGCGGGGUAAAGGCCCACCAAGGCGACGAUCCGUAGCUGGUCUGAGAGGAUGAUCAGCCACACUGGAACUGAGACACGGUCCAGACUCCUACGGGAGGCAGCAGUGGGGAAUAUUGGACAAUGGGCGCAAGCCUGAUCCAGCCAUACCGCGUGGGUGAAGAAGGCCUUCGGGUUGCAAAGCCCUUUUGUUGGGAAAGAAAAGCAGCAGGUUAAUACCCCGCUGUUCUGACGGUACCCAAAGAAUAAGCACCGGCUAACUUCGUGC